rnacentral:rRNA from 1 species
AUUGAACGCUGGCGGCAUGCCUUACACAUGCAAGUCGAACGGUAACAGGUCUUCGGAUGCUGACGAGUGGCGAACGGGUGAGUAAUACAUCGGAACGUGCCCGAUCGUGGGGGAUAACGAAGCGAAAGCUUUGCUAAUACCGCAUAAGAUCUACGGAUGCAAGCAGGGGACCGCAAGGCCUUGCGCGAACGGAGCGGCCGAUGGCAGAUUAGGUAGUUGGGGGGCUAAAAGCUUACCAAGCCGACGAUCUGUAGCUGGUCUGAGAGGACGACCAGCCACACUGGGACUGAGACACGGCCCAGACUCCUACGGGAGGCAGCAGUGGGGAAUUUUGGACAAUGGGCGAAAGCCUGAUCCAGCCAUGCCGCGUGCAGGAUGAAGGCCUUCGGGUUGUAAACUGCUUUUGUACGGAACGAAAAGACUCUUUCUAAUAAAGAGGGUCCAUGACGGUACCGUAAGAAUAAGCACCGGCUAACUACGUGCCAGCCGCCGCGGUAAGAC